UACGUAGGGUGCGAGCGUUAAUCGGAAUUUACUGGGCGUAAAAGCGUGCGUAGGCGGUUUGGCAAAGUCAGCUGUGAAAGCCCCGGGCUUAACCUGGGAAUGGCGGUUUGAAACUAGUCGACUCGAAUCUGGCAGAGGGGGUGGAAUUCCACGGUGUAGCAGGUGAAAUGCGUAGAGAUGAUGGAGGAACACCGAUGGCGGAAGGCAGCCCCCUGGGCUGAGCAUUGACGCUGAGGACGAAAGCGUGGGGAGCAAAC
rnacentral:rRNA from 1 species